GGGUGAUUAGCUCAGUCGGUAGAGCGCUACGUUCACAUCGUAGAAGUCACUGGUUCGAGUCCAGUAUUGCCCACCA
rnacentral:tRNA from 1 species